rnacentral:rRNA from 1 species
AACGAACGCUGGCGGCAUGCCUAACACAUGCAAGUCGAACGAAGGCUUCGGCCUUAGUGGCGCACGGGUGCGUAACGCGUGGGAAUCUGCCCUUGGGUUCGGAAUAACUCAGAGAAAUUUGAGCUAAUACCGGAUGAUGACGUAAGUCCAAAGAUUUAUCGCCCAAGGAUGAGCCCGCGUAAGAUUAGCUAGUUGGUGGGGUAAAGGCCUACCAAGGCGACGAUCUUUAGCUGGUCUGAGAGGAUGAUCAGCCACACUGGGACUGAGACACGGUCCAGACUCCUACGGGAGGCAGCAGUGGGGAAUUUUGGACAAUGGGGGCAACCCUGAUCCAGCCAUGCCGCGUGAGUGAAGAAGGCCUCGGUUGUAAGACUCUUUCGGUCAGGAACGAAACGGUACGUUCCCUAACUACGGAGGGCGUAAUGACGGUAC